rnacentral:tRNA from 1 species
GGGUUGUGGCUCAGAGGUAGAGCGCUCGCCUACCAUGCGGAAGGAACCAGGUUCGUUCCUCAGCACCA